CCCCCCCCCCCCCCUGUUGAGUAGAUCUCCCGGAUUCCGUUUCUCCAAACUUGGCAGGUAUGCCAAUGGAGCCACGGUGUGAAGCGGCCGUGGAAACGUCACAAUAUCUUGUGUGAGCACGUGACAAGAAGCUCAUACCAUGUUGUGGCGUCGAGGUACAGUAGGAACCGAAACUAGCUUUUGAAACAUGCUGUAAUUACCUUUUCAGGGUGCACUCAUGCUGAGCAAUAUGUUUUCUAGGCUCUUGAGGGCUUGGCCUUUCAUUUGACGCAAAAAAACGGAUUGAGAAUCUUCGUGUCAGUACCCCUUUAAAAGCUUGAAACAUUGUUCCUUUGUCCUUUGCAUUAUGUCGACAAAAACAGUAAUAGCUUUAGUUCUUAUUGUGAAGUUGUCAUUAUCCUGUUGUUGUCAGACCACCUCCCCAAUUUGGCUUUAUCUUUGCUGUGUGCUGCAAAAAAGAAAAAAAAAGCUCACAACUGCCAUUAUGCCAUUACACUGCAAGCAGACAAACUAAGCUGAAGUAGUGCUAGUGUGUGCAAUACUAUAGCAGUACUGUGUGAAAAACACAAAAUCAUGGCAUUAUCUUUGGUCUCCCAAAGGAAUACUGAAAGCAACAUUUUGUUUAACACUUCCAUGUCCCGUUAGAUGGCUGUCGACAUCAUAACAACAGUAUGGUUCUAGUGUCCUUUGAACAUGCAUUUAUGCCGUCUUUCAGCAUGACCAGUUUUAAAUGCAUGCCAACACCAGCACAACCUCACUGCCUAGGUUAUUCAGAAAAAGUGCCCAUUUUAUGAUGAGAAUUGGCUAUAGUCAUGAUACAGUUACGCAGUCAACUGACACGUGUUAGUCGGUCUGGUGAAGUGGCCACACGUGUUGCAUUGUUCGCAAACCACACCAUGUUCUUGGGAAUGAAAGUCGAGUGCAUGCUGUACUGGCCAUUGUUCUUUUUCGCUCUGAAUUCAUGUUCAAUGCAGCAUGAGCUUGGUCCUCUGUUGUCACUUCUUUCAGAGCACUGUGUGAUUUUAUUUCCACUAACCUUGUUAUCCCAUUUUUUGGCAAGUUCAUUACACUGCUGUGGUGACCACUGCACCACCCAUCUGAGAGAUGUCACAUGACUGCAGGCCCCAAUUUUCUUGAUGCUUUGAAAACAGUAAAGUCUGUAGCUGGCACUGUAUUUGGUGUGUAUUUUGAAUUUGUUGCAUUAAAAGAGUACACUGUCCUGGCACAUAAAUAGUGCCACAUUCAAGAAAAUGAGACCUAAUGUCACUGCUCUAAAUUAUUCAGCAGCUACCUAAUAAACAAUGGGGGAGAAAUUUCAUCAGUACUUUUUCUGAUGCUAACCACUGCUAGUAAAACAAUGUGCGAUACUGAGCAGUUUUGUUAUAUAGGUAUAGAACACCUACGGUAAUUUUUUCUCGUGAUUAUUAUGUGCACAUAACAGCAAAACUUUGCGGGAUGCAAAAUGUUAAAUGUUAGAGAAUUCUAUAUUCUCGCUUUGUCUGGGAACAUAACCUCCAAAUAAAGGUUCCAGCCUGUAGCUGGUACCACAAGCUAUACAGUCACCAGCUAGAUGAGAAGCAUUACAAACUAAUAAAGCAGAAAUUCGCAUUUCUUGUUUAGCCAAUGUCCUGUGAACUUUUGCUGUUAGGUGUACACAUGGCCAAAUAAGCAGGGGCAGCCAUGUGCUUGUGGUAUACCACUUCCACUGGAGUUUGAACCCAUUUUCUUGAGAGGUAUAGGCACUUAUCACUGUGCUAUCAAUUAAACCACUGGAACACUCACACUUGGCAUUUUGUUUUACUUAGCUACCUUUUUCAAAGCAGACUAUGAGAGUCGUGGACUCUGUAUGCUGUUAUAGUUGACAAGCAUAGAGUUGUCAGCAUUUCAAAGUAGUCAAGUCAGUGACAAUGUAUAAUGUGCAGUGUAAAAGAAUGAAGUGACUUGUAGCGCAGGAAAUGCAGACACAAAAGACGGCAGUAGACAACAUACCAGCGCUUGUAUGUUGUCUCCUGUCUUCCUAUGCUCCAAAUCAUUUCUGAUGUGCACCCAACAGACCCAAAUUGCCACAAUUCUGUAAAAGACUGCUGUUGUCGUCAUUGAUUAAGCACCAAAGUAAUUGCAGAAGCCUCUUGAUUUAAUGUAAAAUAUCAUUUGACAAAGAACAAAAAGUCAUAAUUUGCACUUGCUUAUGUUGUGAUGAAAAAUUGUUGAACAGGGAAUGUUGCUAGAGCCAAUGUUUCAACAAGAUUUGCAUUGUUUAUGCCCAUAUAGUAGUUCUAUGAAGGCUGUGUAUUAAAAAUUUUCUGAAACUUGGGAA